GUAACACUACGAGUUUACGGAUAUCCAAGAGUUUACAUUAGUUUGGAGAGGUGGUAUUUGAUAUUUUCUUCAAAUUAAAUGUAAUAUUACAUGACGGUCAGUGAGGCAGUAGUGAAUGCCGUGACAUUGUGAUUUAUAUGGAUUUUAUAUGUUCUUGUGUUAUCUCUAAAAAAUAAUCAUUUGUUUUCAUUUCAUAGUUCCUCUAUUGUUACGUAGUAAUAAAAAUUUGUUUUGUUUUCAAGAGUUACUCUUCUCCCUUUUUGCAAUUUGUAUCAUUUAAGAUAUAUAUCAAUUAAAUUUAUGUUGUUUUUUUUAAUUAAACAUUUUUGUUUAAAAAUGUCUAUAUCUAUUUUGUGAUAUGCAAACGAAAUAUUUUUUAUUUAGUUAUUAAGAAAUAUGAUUUAUCAUAAUGGUAGCUUGGUGUUAAGUUUCAUAGCAUUUCUUUUCGUCUUACCGUUGCAAUGGAAGUUAGUUCGAACAGAAGUUGAAUUACAAGGUUCAAACGUCUGUACUACAUUAAAAGUAUAUAAUGUUACUGUGAAGGUUAAUGAACUAAAGCCGUAUCAAGUUCGAGAAUCAUAUUUUUGUUUAACCGACUUUAAGCUAAAAUGUUCCAGGUACAAGAUCGUCAUGAAAAAUGUCGUUUCAGAAAAAGUAAAAACAUACAUAUUUUUA